CCUACGGGGAGCUGCAGUGGGGAAUAUUGCACAAUGGGGGAAACCCUGAUGCAGCCAUGCCGCGUGUGUGAAGAAGGCCUUCGGGUUGUAAAGCACUUUCAGUUGUGAGGAAAAGUUAGUAGUUAAUACCUGCUAGCCGUGACGUUAACAACAGAAGAAGCACCGGCUAACUCCGUGCCAGCAGCCGCGGUAAUACGGAGGGUGCGAGCGUUAAUCGGAAUGACUGGGCGUAAAGCGCACGCAGGCGGUUUGUUAAGCUAGGUGUGAAAGCCCCGGGCUCAACCUGGGAUGGUCAUUUAGAACUGGCAGACUAGAGUGUUGGAGAGGGGAGUGGAAUUCCAGGUGUAGCGGUGAAAUGCGUAGAUAUCUGGAGGAACAUCAGUGGCGAAGGCGACUCCCUGGCCAAAGACUGACGCUCAUGUGCGAAAGUGUGGGUAGCGAACAGGAUUAGAUACCCGUGUAGUC
rnacentral:rRNA from 1 species